rnacentral:rRNA from 1 species
AAUCAACGCUGGCGGCGUGCCUCAGACAUGCAAGUCGAACGCGAAAGUUUCCUUCGGGGAACAAGUAGAGUGGCGCACGGGUGAGUAACACGUAGGUAAUCUACCUUUGGAUGGGGAAUAACAACCGGAAACGGUUGCUAAUACCGCAUAAUGCAGCGGCACCUAAUGGUGACAGUUGUUAAAGCGGGGGAUCGAAAGACCUCGCGUCUGAAGAGGAGCCUGCGGCGGAUUAGCUAGUUGGAAGGUAAUGGCUUACCAAGGCUUCGAUCCGUAGCCGGCCUGAGAGGGCGGUCGGCCACACUGACACUGACAUACGGGUCAGACUCCUACGGGAGGCAGCAGUCGGGAAUUUUGGGCAAUGGGCGAAAGCCUGACCCAGCAACGCCGCGUGAAGGAUGAAAUCCCUCGGGAUGUAGACUUCGCAAGAACGGGAAGAAUAAGCGAGAGUUAAUAUCUUUCGUGAUGACGGUUACCGUUUGUAAGCUCCGGCUAACUCCGUGCCA